rnacentral:rRNA from 1 species
CCUACGGGAGGCAGCAGUAGGGAAUAUUGGACAAUGGGCGCAAGCCUGAUCCAGCCAUCCCGCGUGAAGGAUUAAGGUCCUAUGGAUUGUAAACUUCUUUUCUCUGGCAAUAAAAAGCGGAGUUCACUCCGCCCUGAAGGUACCAGAGGAAUAAGCACCGGCUAACUCCGUGCCAGCAGCCGCGGUAAUACGGAGGGUGCAGGCGUUAUCCGGAUUCACUGGGUUUAAAGGGUGCGUAGGUGGCUUUAUAAGUCAGUGGUGAAAGCCUGGAGCUUAACUCCAGAACUGCCAUUGAUACUGUUUAGCUUGAAUCAGGUAGAGGUGGAUGGAAUAUUACAUGUAGCGGUGAAAUGCUUAGAUAUGUAAUGGAACACCAUUUGCGAAGGCAGUUCACUAUGCCUGCAUUGACACUGAGGCACGAAAGCGUGGGGAUCAAACAGGAUUAGAUACCCUGGUAGUCCACGCCCUAAACGAUGUAUACUCGACAUAUGCGAUACACUGUAUGUGUCUAAGCGAAAGCGUUAAGUAUACCACCUGGGAAGUACGACCGCAAGGUUGAAACUCAAAGGAAUUGACGG